rnacentral:rRNA from 1 species
AUUGAACGCUGGCGGCAGGCCUAACACAUGCAAGUCGAGCGGAUGAAGGGAGCUUGCUCCUGGAUUCAGCGGCGGACGGGUGAGUAAUGCCUAGGAAUCUGCCAGGUAGUGGGGGAUAACGUCCGGAAACGGGCGCUAAUACCGCAUACGUCCUGAGGGAGAAAGUGGGGGAUCUUCGGACCUCACGCUAUCAGAUGAGCCUAGGUCGGAUUAGCCAGUUGGUGGGGUAAAGGCCUACCAAGGCGACGAUCCGUAACUGGUCUGAGAGGAUGAUCAGUCACACUGGAACUGAGACACGGUCCAGACUCCUACGGGAGGCAGCAGUGGGGAAUAUUGGACAAUGGGCGAAAGCCUGAUCCAGCCAUGCCGCGUGUGUGAAGAAGGUCUUCGGAUUGUAAAGCACUUUAAGUUGGGAGGAAGGGCAGUAAGUUAAUACCUUGCUGUUUUGACGUUACCAACAGAAUAAGCACCGGCUAACUUCGUG